UUCACCGCCCCCAUCUUCCCUCCCCCAUACAACUGCUCCUGGUGCCUCUCCUGCACCGCCCUGCACCGGCGCCUCCUCGGCUCGCCGCGCGUCGCGGGAUCGUUUCCCCUCCUCGCACACUGUCGACACUGCCAUAGGCGGAGGUGCUGCCGCCCACGCAAUCUAACACCGAGGCGAGGCGCCGGCGCAUCGACACCAAUGCGGGAUCCGUCCGCUCUCCUCGCUUGCCGUUGAUGCCGGCCAUAGGCGGAGAUGCCUCUGCCCCACGUGAUCUGGCAAGGUCGUCUACCGUCACAACUACCCUUGAGAUCCAGUGAGGUCGCCUUCCGUCACGGCUGCAGGUGACUUGGGCGUGGUAGUCGUCCCCAUCAUCACCGCUAUCCCCAUGGCACGCGGUGGUCCUUCCUGGCUUCGAGGACUUCCAGACCCAAAGCUCAUUUGUGCUACGAUGUGUUUACUGGAAUGCAUCUUCAACAAUGGUACCAUGCAUUUCCUCUUCUAGCCAAUUUAUUUGGUGUAUCCUUUUGUUGUGAGGAAAACAAUUGUUUACCCUUUUCUUCUUGAAACAGAUAAAUGUUGCAUUAGUUCACCCUGUCAUUAUCUCAUUCCACCCCUAACACAUGUUAUAACUUUUCUUCUUUGAUCAUUGAUGCUCUUCCAAACUGCAGGGGCUAAUAGAAUAUCUUCCUGAAAAUUUCCUUGCUCCAGUACAUUUAAAACGAUGAACUUCCUUUCUUCAGUAGAAGUGCUGCCCCCGUGGAUAUAUAUGGGAACCACUUUCUACAAUAUAAAUGAGGUGGAUAAGUGGAUGGCACAUGUGUAUAUUGCUGUUGAGGGAUUAUAUUUGACAUUUUAUUUUUAUCCCAACACUAGAUUGAAGUGGUGAUUUACAAAGGAUUUUUAGUGGGGCACAAGUGUAGAUUGAUACAAAAGCAUGCUGAAUAGUGAAGUAGUACCAUGCUAGAAUUACUUGGCUACAUUUUUUUUGUUUCUUUGAUGCAAUGUAAUCUUUGUUGUUCCUGUUAUUAGUGAUUUUUCUAGAACAUCGGGUAAGCACUAUGCUAAAAAAAAGCUAUUCUAGAAAAGGAUGAGAAGAGCUAUUCCAGAAAAGGAUGAGAAGAGCCUCAAGGUACAUUCUUUUUAUUCUGCCAGUGUGUCUUACAUAUUUUCUAGCUUGCAAUGCUUUAUAAGAUAUUUCAUAUGGAGGUCAAUGUUGAAAAAAAAGGAGUAGUCAACUUGUGGAGAACAAUGUUAAUCAAGCUCUCAUGAUAUUUCCUCUGCUUCAAGAUGCUUUCUCAGCUAUUUGUUAACAUGCUUCUGAACUUUGAUUUUCUUUACUAAACUAGACCAUUGUGCAGGAUCAUGAUGGGUCGUCCUUAAAAAUCUUGACAAUUACCCUUGACACAACACAUGGGAUGUGCUCAAUCCUACUUAUUUUUGUCUGUUAUUUUAUAUAUGUUUUUCACCUCAGAGAUUUUAUUAAAUUUCAGUUGGGUUAUAACAAGAGAUGCAAAUAAAGAACUUUAUUACGGGUUUUCAUAAAACAAAUAUAUACUUCCAAAUACCUUGAAGGUUAUUGAUUAUAUGCAGCAAGGCCAUUUGAUUAAGUUGGCUCUUUUUUGACACCAAUUUAUAUGCAAGCUAUUUGAAUAUAUAUUUGUGGAAGAAAGUACAGAAGUGUGUUUGGGUGAGGCCAAGGUUAAACAUCUCACAUUUUGUUUCAGAAAUCAUCUCUACUUAAGUCCAAGAGGUCAUCAGGUGAUGAGAUGGAUGAACUCCCAGUUUGCAUUUAUUGGGAGCUAUGAAACUGGUAAAAUGAUUAUGGUUCCCGCAACUCCUAAGCCUAUUACAUUGGAACUUGGUGAAGAAGACCUAUUCCUAUUUGAGUAUGUUGACAUCGACAAAAGGCAGCAAAGAGAACAAGUAUUGAAGGGGGCAUAAAGAACUAUGGGAGAAGCAUCCAUUUGACAAGCUCAAAGUCAUUGGUUCGCACUACCGUGGUUAUAUCAAAGAUGCAAUGGGAAAGAAAGUUAGCUUGUUCACCAUCUUGACUGCAUUUUCAUUGUUUCUUAUUAGGCCUGAGAUGUAGAUAUACUGGUAGGCAUUCUUCACCCAUUAUGACUGAAGCCUGAUUAUCACAUUGUAUUGCCAUGCGUUACAAACUGUUUUUGAAAUGUAACUCCUGCACAUCAUACGAGAACUUGGUUUAGAUUAUGAUUAUUCAUUUACAUAUCAUUAUUUACACUCUUGUCUUAGAGUAAGAAAACUUGGUUCUUUGAAGUUCAGAUUAUGAGUUCACAAUUAGUUUAAUCCUGACCAUGUACAGUUUUUUGUAUAAAAUGGUGCGUAUUUUUGUACAGAAAGAAGCGAGAGCACAUGGUAUUUAUAGUUUCUGCUUACCUCUGACCUUGGUUACUUUGAAUGAUUAUAUGCUUACUCACCGAGUAUAAUAGCUCAUUUUUUGUUCUUUGAAGAAUUGAAGGUAUUACUAUACUCACUGGGUAUAAUAGCUCAAUUUUUGUUCUUUCUAACUACUAAGUGAUAAAAUGUUAUGCUGCAAUAUUUGGUUCCUGUUUUAGUGGAAAUUGGAGCUUUUACCUAUAGUUUGCGGAAAUCUGUGUUUUGAAUACUUUCAAUGAGGCAGAGGUUAAAUGCUCUGUAAAUAAAGACAGACAACAAGGAUUAGUGAGUUUAUGUCUUUGUUUGUACUGUUUUUAUACAAGGACAACAAUGAACGACAUAUGUACUUUUCAUCCUAUUUGUUUCUAGCAUGUAAAUGUAAGUAUUUCUUCAUACACGUGAGAAAGAAAAUAUUAGUUCUUACACGUUUGAGGAUAUGUAUAACCAUAAUAUGUAAUGCAAUUGUGGUGAGGUAGAACGAGGAGGAGAGGUGUGUGAUGCUAGACAUAUUAGCAAAAUUUUUAGUUCAGUUGAUUACAUUCAUGAGUGUUCUUCCGUUGCAACAUACGGGCCUUGUUCACUGCAUACACAGAUAUACUACUAUCUUAUAGAAUAUGUUGAUCAAGGAUGAAGAGGUGGAUAAGUUUGUGGCUUUAGUUACUGAAUGUCCAGAUCUGGCUUGCUUCUCAACUAGGGCCUACAUUUAGAGAAGACAUAUUCAUAUGUACGUGAUUUAUAAGGUCCUUUUUCUAUACAUGUUUGCAAAGUUUGUCGGUAUAUUAUGCAGAGACAACUUGCCAUGGUCUGCGUAGAUGUGUUCUUUAUUUCUCAAUUUCUUUUGCUUUAAAACGAUGUUGAUUGGCUGAAAGAAUGGUUCUGCAUGGUUUGCACUCACACCUACUUGAAUUUAGAGUUUUAUUAGCAAAUCCAUUUAGAACAGUGUUAACAUUUUACAUUUUUCUACAGAAAGUUGUACACUGCAGGGGUCUAUACCCACAAACCAAGGAAGGCAACUCAGAAGUUUUUCCCUGCCAAUAACCAAGAUUCACAAGGAUAGGAGGGCAGAGAUAUCAUGCUGCCAUGGAACUGGUCCAUUUGUCAUUGCCUUGCUGCUUUCAUGUUCCCUGAUAUUCAGUAGCCAUAUACUUUUAGGACUUAGGAUGUGAUUUCACAUGCGUUGCUGAUCAUAGUUGAUGCUUUUGUCGGUUCAGGGUGAGCUAUUUUGUGUACAAUUGCUAUUGGCCGUGUAAUGACUGGCUAUGCAUGGCUCUGUUUUAUUGAGCUUAGAUGAAAAUUUGAUGGACCACCUAAAUUCA